AGUCAUUUUCUGUCAUUCUCACUCGAUCAGCUCCCUCAGCUUGACCUAUAAUUCGCAAAACUGAAAACCUCAAAAACCAGCCUCUCUCCUUCUCACUCAGCUCCUUCAGAACUCGAUUCUCACUCUCUCCUUCGUCUUCUUGCCCACUUGAUUCUUCUUCUUAGUCUCUCCCUCUUCUUCUUAGUUUCGAUUUUAGGUUUGAUUUCGAUUAGGUUUUUCUUCUAUUUGGGGUGAUUGGAUUUUACUUUUCCUCUUAUCCUCGUCAAAAUGAGGUGUUUCAAUUACUGAAAACCCAGACCUCUCUCUCUCUCUGACUCUCAGCCUCCUUCACUGUCGAUGGCGGCGAAACGGCGGCAUUCAGUGACUGUUGUCUUGGUCUCUCCAUGAAUUCGAAGGCAAUCACUUAGUGACUCGUCGUCUCUCUCUCUCUCUCUCUCUCUCUCUGUCUCUCUCUCUCUCAAUCUCUCCUGGACGGUCGCCGGCACUAGCCCUCUCCCUCUAUCCUCGAAGGUCGACGGCACCGACCCUUUCUCCUCGAAUUAGACUGGAGUAGUGGAAGGCGAUACUGUUGGAAUCGAGAGAGCGGGAGAAGAAGUCAGUUCGCCUUUCAUUUGGAUCAAUCUUGAAAGCUUGGCUAUCGAAGGGGUAUUGUUCGGUUUUGCUGUGAGGAGGAAGAGGACCUGCGUUUUGGAUAACUGCAUUUUGAGCCAAGGAGAAGAUGAGGAACUUGGGUAUAGGGUUGUGAUCGAUACUUAGUUUUUGGGGUGAGAAGUUUAAUGCAUGGUGUUGACACUGAAGCAGCAGUACAGAAGCUUAGAGGCCGAGUUGGAACAACUGUUACAGUAAAAGUUCAGUGGCAAUGAUUUGGGAAGUGAUGCUAGUAUAAGAGAGGUACUCAGAUCAUGGAUAAA